rnacentral:rRNA from 1 species
UACGUAGGCAGCGAGCGUUGUUCGGAGUUACUGGGCGUAAAGCGUGCGUAGGCGGUGUCUUAAGUUUGUUGUGAAAUCUCCCGGCUUAACCGGGAGGGUGCGGCGAAUACUGAGAUGCUGGAGUGCCGGAGAGGUAAGCGGAAUUCCUGGUGUAGCGGUGAAAUGCGUAGAUAUCAGGGGGAACACCUGCGGUGUAGACGGCUUACUGGACGGUAACUGACGCUGAGGCACGAAAGCGUGGGUAGCAAACGGG